AACGUAGGAGGCAAGCGUUAUCCGGAGUUACUGGGCGUAAAGCGCGCGCAGGCGGCGCGUUAAGUGUGGGGUCAAAGGUCCAGGCUCAACCUGGGAAAGGCAACACAGACUGACGGGCUGGAGGCAGCUAGAGGGACGCGGAAUUCGGGGUGUAGCGGUGAAAUGUGUAGAGAUCCCGAGGAACACCAGCGGUGAAGACGGCGUCCUGGGGCUGACCUGACGCUGAGGCGCGAAGGCGUGGGGAGCGAACGGG
rnacentral:rRNA from 1 species